GGAGUUUGGAGGUGACUCCCCUGAAGGUCCUCUGCUUUCUCCAGCCUGAUUUGGCUCCACUGCUCACCAGGGAACUCUCACCUCUCCCUCCUUCCAGACAUCCCCUCGCUGAGGCUCCCAGCCCAGCCAUGCUCUGCUCCGCUCCUGACCUCUGCAUUCAUGACUCUACCUUCCUCUCUGGAUUGUCGCUUGCUUUUGGGCUCUCAGUUAUAGCUCCCAGGCCAGCCCCACGCUUCUCAUUACACCAAAGGAGGUGCACCUGGACUGAAACAGGAUUUAAAGGUCCAGCUAUUUUGCUACACAGCCCAUUUAAAAUGGACUAUUGGGGACUGAAGGUUCCAUGGCAAUUGACUGGAAUGUUGGGAUCUGAAGAUUCCAUGUCAGUUGGGAUCUGGAGGUACCAUGACAAUUGGGAAGAAUGUUGGGGUCUGUGGAUUCUGUGUCAGUUGGGUUGAAUGUUGGGGCCUGGAGGUUCUGUGGCAGUCAUGGGAGGGGGGAUAUUGGGAUCUGGAGGUUCUGUGGCAGUUGUGGGAGGGGGAUAUUGGGAUCUGGAGGUUCUGUGGCAGUUGUGGGAGGGGGAUAUUGGGAUCUGGAGGUUCUGUGGCAGUUGUGGGAGGGGGAUAUUGGGAUCUGGAGGUUCUGUGGCAGUCAUGGGAGGGGGAUAUUGGGAUCUGGAGGUUCCAUGGCAGUUGCGCAUGUUGACACAUUUUCAACCUCAUAACUAUAUACAUGAAAUUACAACCUAUAACAUUACUAUAACAACGAUUAUUAUAACAUUACCAUAGCAACAAUGCUCAUUACAUCACGAGCCUUCCGAAGACACCUGACAUGAUAAACUUUGCAUCGGAUACCAGACGGUCAUUUUAUAAAGAUGAACAUGGGGGUGUAGGGUGUUCCCACGAGGUACAGAACGUCACGGACACUACAUCAGAACAAUUCCUCGAAAGGAUGGGGUGGACUCUCCAAUCAAGUUUGGACUGGCUUCUCUCAAAGAUACAGUGGUCAAGAUUUUCAAAAGGGAUUAAUGAUUUGGGAGGGAAAUGAAGGCACUAAUAAAACCUCAUCUGGAAUAUUGUGUCCAAUUCUGGUCACAUGGUCCAGGAAGAUUAAUUCAAACUGGGACAGGUGUAGAGAAGGCAGUUAUGAUUAUCAGAGGUGUAGUAGGAAGAGAGCCUGAGAUAUAAGCCCUUGAAUUAGAGCUGCAUCCAUUGUCAUGGGCAUACAUGUCUUAGUAUCCUCGUAUAGUCUGCCAGGUGCUAUUACCAUGCUUUGUCAACAAUAAACCUGGUCUUUAUACCUUAACGGAUCUUGUGGUCAUUGUGCGGUUCACUCAAGGCCUGAUGUGUUGGCUGUCUGCACAGAGCUGGGGCAGCACACAGGGAGAACACAUACACACAGCUAACAACAAGAGGAAUGGAGAACCUAGUUUAUGAAAGGA